AGAUUUUCAGCCGAAAGGACAGAAAAAUUACGUGAACAACGUAAACAGAUUGAAUAUACGGAAAAUAGGAUGGAAAGCGUUCGGCUGGAACGUACACUUCUGGAAGAAUUGCGAAAAGCUUCAUUCGACCAAUAUCACGUUACGUACGUUGGCAGUAAUAUUAUUUGAAAAUUAAACGUAAUUUCGAUCAGGGAACAGACGGUGCUUCAUAUCCCGUCCAGACGUAAUAAAAAAUUUAACAGCUGAAAAAAUAGACGUCCUCGGAUAAUAUUUAUAUACUACGGUCCAUAUCGCGAGUCCGUCAAUAGUACGUCAACAUUGGGGAAAAAUAUGUUGUGAAUUGUUAAUGAAAUAUAUUUAUGUUUAGCGCGGGACAAAAAGUUGCAUGAGGGUACAUAUGCAUACAUAUAUGUUUAGUAAGUAAGUAUACGUUUCAUAGAUAGUGACGCAUUCUUGUUGCACGAAUACGAGGCGCGUUACGCACGUAUAUUUCAAUUUUAGAUCGACCCGCUUUUAAAACGCAACUCACACCUCUGCAAUAACAGUAUGGAUGUAUAACUAAGGAACAUGGGCAUCGUAUAUACAAUCUGUAUUUUUUUUUUUUUUGAUAUUCACUUGAUUGUAACAAAGUUGAAACGGUGAUUUGGAUUUUCCCUGUUUCAAUCAUGUUAGCUUUAUAUAUUUACUCAUUUUUACGACAUCUCACACUAGCUGGGGAAUAUUUACAUAAGAGCCCAAUAAAAAAAACGUAGAAAUUGCGGUGUCCCCAUCGAAGGUUUUUCUUAGCAAAAUAUAUAUAUUUUUUUUUUCCUCUCUCUUGUCGGGAAAUGCAUGUGUCUGCAGCUAUUUUGAGACUGCGGCGUAUGAAUGCAGGAUGAUGGACGGGAGACCAAAGAAAAAUAUUGAACGUCGGACAAUGAAGCAGCAAUGAGAUGAGAACAGUCUCAUCCAUUUUAACGAGACAAGUUGAUAAACAAGUUUGUAGACUUGUUUAAAAUAGAUAACAAGAUUGUUUAUUUUUCUCUCCUUGUAGUCUUUUCGUGGUAACAAUUGCAGAGUUAUUGUUUUCGGGAAAAUUUAUACCUUUUGUCGCAUUACUCAAACAUCGCGAUGUUAGUGCGGAAUUUGCGGUAAACCGUCAGCAAUACACGUACGUGAAAACGUUGGAAAAAGAUGCUAACGAGGAUCACAUAAACCACGAAAGUGUUGAGACAACCCUUUCGAAUUCCCACUUAUUCCCUAAUUCCAUGCCAGACAAAACUGUCGUUGCUUCUCUACCUGGAUUACGCGAGUCCGACAGAUGGGUCGUACUUUCGGUUAGUGGAGACGGUGUCAUCUUGGCCCUUGAGCUUGCUAGAGUGUUUGAAAAGCUGAGGGAUGCACAUAACUGGACUCCACGGAGAAGGAUAGUUUUCUGCUUCUCCAACGAGUUUGGUCAGGAUUCGUGUCGCGACAAUCUACCGAAAUACGCACACCAUAAGAUAGUGGCCUAUUUAACAGUCCAUGGAAACGCCAUACAGAAGAACGGGUGCUUCGUAGCCCCAGGAUCAGACGUGGUGAGAUCGUCGGUAUUUGAAGCAGUUCAGACAGUUCAGGAUACAAUUUCUGCCCAAGACCUAACAAGUACUCGCAGAAUUUUCAACUGGUGCCAAAAGGAACAUGAUGACGGGCUAUUUUUGCCUAGAAUUCCCUCAGACAUACCGCAUGCCUCACUCGCAUUAUUAGCAGCAACCAACACUAGUGUCAAUGCUGACUAUGAAACAGCGACCCCGUACAGUAGAUCUUUUUUUCAAAUUAUCGGUCUUACCAUCUGGAGACUUUCGAACAGUCCGAUUCUUCACUGGGAUCCGAAAUACUUCGAACGCGACGUCAAAGCAGCCUUGAAGAUGAUCGAUUCUCCAGGAUUCGUCCAAGUUAAAGAGAAGAUUACAUCGACUGUGCAUAAAAUAGUCAAUAGAGCUUACAACUUGAAUCGAAACAUAAACGAGAUCGAAGAGCCUGACUCACUGUCAGCACGAGUGAUGAACGACUUGGUAAUGGAUUUGGAUCGAGCACUGCUGUGCCCAGACGGUAAUUUAGCGUCAAAAACUGACCCAGCUUUAAUCAAACGUGGGCUGGUGGAUUCGGAAAUGCUCGAUGAUAUGCUCAAUUGCUAUGAGAAUGCAGUUCAAGUUUUGCAGGAAGGGUGACUUCCAAAUUUUCUGAAUGCCCAGUGAAUGAAUAACAAGCCACCGUCGACAGUAAUGUGUUUUAAAAAGGGUACCGUCAAUGGCUUGGCAAUUUGGAUUGAAAACAGAGUAGGCGCUAAUCUCGCCCUUCUUCUUUGGACCAGACCGAGUGUUCUUCCAUAUUAGUACUAAGGAUGACACGAUAAAGUAUACGGCGCCGAAUUCGAACUGAAGUGCUAUCAUGUAAAGCGUUGCCCACAGAAGGAAGUACAGCAGGUAAGUGACUUGCAUCAAUACCGGAUUCUCUGCCGGCGUCAAAUCCAGACUCUCUUCAGACUGACUGCUCUCUAUGUCUUCCCUAUCCUGGAACCUUACAAUUCUUAAUGUUGCAGUACUGUUUACGCUGUUCUGUAUUUCAAGUGUUAUAACAAUAGGCGUUUAUAAUUUAUGAUAAUGAAAUAGUGUUUUCCUUCAGUUUUCCGAGCAUAGUACAUAGAAAUAUAAGUGAAAGCGUGUAAAUUCCUACUACACAGAAGACUGAAGAGAAGUAGCCGUCAAGUUGUAACCAUGAUUAAGUGUAAAUGUUUGCAGUUAUCUCGAAAAGUGUUGUUUGUUGUUACAAAACCGAGCAAAUAAAUAACAAUGUGAUGAAAAUACAGAUUGGGUGAGUGAGGAAAUGAGAAGGCGAGAUAAAAAUGAAAAAACUAACCGUAAAUAUAUACAACAGUAAUCGUAAUAACAAUGAUUUUGAUUUAAAAUACAAUACAAGAUACAAGGUUCAAAUUAUUGGAAUUAAGA